rnacentral:rRNA from 1 species
GGUCAAGCUACAAAGAGCACAAGGGGAAUGCCUUGGCACCGAGAGCCGAUGAAGGACGUGACUAACUGCGAUAAGCCACGGGGAGCUGUAAGUGAGCAUUAUAUCCGUGGAUUUCCGAAUGGAGCAAUCCGGCAAGAGGAAAGUCUUGUCAUCAUAUACUGAAUCAAUAGGUAUAUGAGGGGAACCGCCUGAACUGAAACAUCUAAGUAGGGCGAGG